UACAGAGGGGGCAAGCGUUGUUCGGAAUUACUGGGCGUAAAGGGCGCGUAGGCGGCCUUCUAAGUCGAACGUGAAAUCCCCGGGCUCAACCCGGGAACUGCGUCCGAUACUGGAAGGCUUGAAUCCGGGAGAGGGAUGCGGAAUUCCAGGUGUAGCGGUGAAAUGGCGUAGAUAUCUGGAGGAACACCGGUGGCGAAGGCGGCAUCCUGGACCGGUAUUGACGCGUGAGUGAGCGAAAGCUAGGGGAGCAAACG
rnacentral:rRNA from 1 species